AGAAGAUCCUGGGCAGGGCCGAUGAAAUACUGGAGGAAGAAGAAAACGUUCUGGCUCAGGAGGCUGUGCUGGAGACCCUGCUGAGGUCCGAGGACAGGCACUGGCCACUGUGGGACAGCGAGGACCAGCUCAGUGUGCUGUCAUCCAGCGAGUUGACUGAAGCUGGUGUUCUCGGCCUCGGGGACUCCCUGGACCCUGCUGAAUCUGAC